AGGACGAACGCUGGCGGCGUGCUUAACACAUGCAAGUCGAGCGGUAAGGCCCUUUCGGGGGUACACGAGCGGCGAACGGGUGAGUAACACGUGAGCAAUCUGCCCUUCACUUCGGGAUAAGCCUCGGAAACGGGGUCUAAUACCGGAUAUGACUGCGCCAUGCAUGUGGUGUGGUGGAAAGUUCUGGCGGUGAGGGAUGAGCUCGCGGCCUAUCAGCUUGUUGGUGGGGUAAUGGCCUACCAAGGCUUCGACGGGUAGCCGGCCUGAGAGGGUGACCGGCCACACUGGGACUGAGACACGGCCCAGACUCCUACGGGAGGCAGCAGUGGGGAAUAUUGGACAAUGGGCGAAAGCCUGAUCCAGCAACGCCGCGUGAGGGAUG
rnacentral:rRNA from 1 species